rnacentral:rRNA from 1 species
UACGUAGGGUGCGAGCGUUGUCCGGAUUUACUGGGCGUAAAGGGCGCGUAGGCGGCCUUGUCAGUCAGGCGUGAAAGCCCCGGGCUCAACCUGGGAACGGCGCUUGGGACGGCGAGGCUGGAGUUCGGGAGAGGAGAGUGGAAUUCCCAGUGUAGAGGUGAAAUACGUAGAGAUUGGGAAGAACACCAGUGGCGAAGGCGGCUAUCUGGACGGUUUCUGACACUAAGACUCGAAAGCGUGGGGAGCAAACAGG